GACUCAAAGCAGCACUACUUUGGGGGUUUACUGGUAUAUUUAGAUGGACCUUUCUGAUCAGGCUUAUUUAGUUUUUACUUUUCCUUCUCCUUUAAAGGUGAACCACCCCUUUAACAUUUGUAGAAAAAACAAACGAUCUUUGGUCACAAGGAGAUCGUUAUUGUAAUUUGUAUGGUCACCUUAAAGGGAACCAGUCACCUUAUGAAAUAAUUCCAAAUUCUAUUUUAUGAUGUUAGUCAAGCUAAAUAAAAAAUUAUUUAAAUAAAAUUAUUUAAAUCUUGUUGUUUUUUUUUCUUGGAAUUCACAUUCGCAGCAAGUAAGGAGCAGCUAUUUUUUUUUUAACACUGUUAUUAAGGCAUGCCGAAAUAUUGUUUAUCUGGCAGAAUGGGGCACAUAAUGCCCAUGCUCUGGCUACACAAUUAGAUGUUUAGGAGGGAGAAUGUGGGGAGUGCAAUGACAUCUAGGAAGUGCAGAAUGGGAAGUAAUUUCCUGCUGCCUCUAUGCCUAAGGCAUAGAGUUUCACAGGUAUGGAUGUUUUAAUAAAAAAAGAAUUUGGUUUUCAUGUUUAAUUUAAAAAGGACAUUUAUUAGACAGAUUUUUAUGUCUUAUGUCCCCUUUAAGAAACGACAUUUGGAAGUUGGGGAUUUUAUAUGCAAUAUGUAAUGUCCAACUGCUGUAGAUGAUAAUCAAUAUAAAGAUCUCACAUCCUGGGAUUCUUGGUGAAGGAGAAUACAAUGGGACUCAUUUAUCAACACUGGGCAAAUUUGCCCAUGGGCAGUUACCUAUAGCAACCAAUUAGCGAUAAGCUUUUUAAAGCCAGCUGCGAGUAGAACAAUGAAUGCAGCAAUCUGGUUGCCAUGGGUUACUGUCCAUGGGCAAAUUUGCACAGUGUUUAUAAAUGACCCCCAAUGACUUUUUCAACAAGAAAUGUAGUAAUGCACACAACAUAAACUCGUUUACAGCAAUUAAAUAGAUAUAUUGAUAGAUCAAAGGAAAAUAAACUGCAGUGAAGGUAUUUAUGUAUCCACAUGAGAUCUGAUUAUAUAUACAAAAUAUUUUUUGUUACAUCUAUAGCUAGUUAUGUAUUGUGAUGUGAGCAAGCAGGUGCUUAACCUGGACUUGUAAAUAUUUCAAAGCCUGAAUAAUUCAUGAAUGUAUUCAUCUUAUAUACGCCAAAGAGCUGGCUGUGAAAGCUGCUUGCAAUGAAGAAACGACCUGUAUCAAAACAGGCUACACAUCACCCAAGUAAGGACGGGUGCAGGAGAGAGACGGUCAACCUUUCAGUGUCCUCCAGUAAAUGCAUAGCAACUCUUCCUAAUGUACAAUCAGCACAACAGGACAUGAUGGGAAAAAUCAAGAGACCACAGACUGAUGCUCUUACUAGCAAACUACACAGAAAAGAAAAUUCUUAGUCCAUUAAGUCCAUUCUAUACAAUGGUGAAUCCUUCCAGGUGAAAAAGACCAGCAGCAGUGAAGAUGACUAUGGCACAAACUCCUUUUUUAGGAGCUACUCCAGCCAGCGGAGGCAAGAGAGACUACAAUAAACCACUGCCCAGAGAGCUAUACCCAUGAAGGGAAAGAAGCCAAAGGAGGUACAGAUCUGUUGGAUUGGGUCAUAACUGAACAUGGACUCAGCCCUCCCUGCAUGGAAGCAGUUUGUCCGCUUCUCUUCAUAAAAAAAGUAUCCUUAUGGCACCCAGCGGACAUGUGACAUACUUUCACUUCUGCAAACCCAACAGGCCUGAAUUACGAAGAGACUGCACUGGAAGAAGGGCACAAUGGCCUCAUCAAGACUUGUCCAAGGAGGAGCUGGCAUCCAGUUUUCAUGAAGGACAUCAUCACCUUGUGGUUCAUGGUGUCUCAUGUAGACAGACAAACCAGAAAUUACCCCAGGCAGCUGAGAGAAUGCAGCUUUAUGUCUACUACCAGCAGACAGGCAGAGAUACAGCAAAGUUUAAGCGUGAGGAAGAAGAAUCCAGUUGUCAGUUCAGCUCUCUUAGGCUGCAAGAGGAUGAAGGUCGUGGGCCAGCCUAAUCAGACCUGAAAUAACUGUAAUUUUACAGAAUAAAAGAAAUUUGUAAGAAAGAAACUUUCCCAUAUAUAUAUAUAUAUAUAUAUAUUCAGCAAGGAAGAUCCGCACUCUCAGGUCUUAAGUAAAAAUGUAAAAAAUUUUUAUUGUUACAUACGAGACUGACGUUUCGGCCUCCUCCGAGGCCUUUCUCAAAGUGUCCAAUCAAUUACAAGAAAGCCUUAUAUACAAGUGUUGGCGGGAGAAUAGACAAAU